rnacentral:sRNA from 1 species
CGAUCAGUCGGUCCUGGGCUGGUUGUGGUGUAGGGCGUUGCAGGCAGCGCUUACCUCCUCAGGCCGGCAGAAUGCGAGUGGCUGUGGCUGGCUGCUGCCACGGCGAGCUGGAUAAGAUCUAUGAGACGCUGGCGCUGGCGGAGCGGCGCGGCCCGGGGCCUGUCGACCUCUUGCUGUGCUGCGGCGACUUCCAGGCGGUGCGCAACGAGGUGGAUCUACGCUGCAUGGCCGUGCCGCCCAAGUAUCGUCACAUGCAAACCUUCUACAGGUAUUACUCUGGAGAGAAAAAGGCCCCAGUUCUCACGCUCUUCAUUGGGGGAAACCAUGAAGCCUCAAAUCAUUUGCAAGAGUUACCCUAUGGUGGCUGGGUGGCACCAAACAUUUAUUAUUUAGGUUUGGCUGGUGUGGUAAAAUACCGAGGUGUAAGGAUCGGUGGAAUCUCUGGUAUCUUUAAAUCUCAUGACUAUCGAAAAGAGUUUCGUUCUUGGUGUCCAUGAUGGAGUGCAGUGGCGCGAUCUCAGCUCACUACAACCUCCACCUCCCGGGUUCAAGCCAUUCUCCUGCCUCAGCCUCCUGAGUAGCUGGGAUUACAGGCGCCUGCCACCAUGCCUGGCUAAUUUUUU